rnacentral:lncRNA from 1 species
GCUAAUGCUAGGGUUCGGGACCCGGUUUAUGGUUGCGUCGGUGCCAUAUCAUCUUUGCAGCAACAAAUAGACUCACUGCAAGCCCAGUUGGCUCUAGCACAAGCUGAAGUGGUGCACAUGAGAAUGCGCCAAGUCUCACCUUCAUCAUCAUCGUCCCAUAACUUGCCUGCAAAUUCAAUGGACCAUAUGGUUGAUCAUCAUCAUCAAGCCAAUAUUGGAGGCUCUCUGUGGUCUUGCUAAGCUAAACUAGUUAACCUAGGAUGCCAAAUUGCGAUCACUUUUUUUUUAGUUAUUUAUAAUUAACUAUAAUGAACUUGCUUUAUUGCUGCUACAUGCUUCUUUUUCUUUUGUCUUUACAUCUUUAUUUAUAAGUAUAGCAUUAUCAGUCAUCAUAUGUCAUCUCUGAACUUGACCUAUAGAUGAUGAUGAUGAUGAUGAUCAUUAACCAUAUUGUAAAUAAUAUACCUGAUAUUAUAUAUAUAUAAUAUCAUAUGUUUUUCCUAUUUAAUGUUAAAUUACAAUCUAUUGAGAUUAAUUUACAUUAAAAAACUACAGGACUUUGGAUUUGUUUCUUAUUGAGGUUUUGUGAAAAAUUAACUCAAUAGACACUUUAAGAGUUGUAUAUUUUAAAUUGUAACUGCUCAGACACUUUAGGUUUUUGAGGUUUCAUUAGCUAUGUAGCUUUGAUGUUUGUGCUCCAAACCAACCCCAACCGCCCUAGAUGAUGAUGAUCAUUCACCACAUCGAAAAUAAUAUAAUUGAUUUUAAUAUCAAUUAUAAUGAGUUAUCAUAUGUAUUUAAUUACUUGAAGAGGAUUUGCAUUUAGCACAUCUAAUUAAUGAGAAUCAAUUGAGAAUUUGACUCAAUCUCUAAACUUUUUGGGUGGUUGAGCUAGCUGCUUCUUGUGCCCCACAUUUCCAUCGUUCUAUGUUGUUAGAACGUAUGAAAAUAACAUCACAACAAAUGAAUGUUUUUGGAUGGAAAACUAAAGUUCAACUACUGCCUACUUUCUCUUUUCAUCAUAAGUUCACCCCAGGAAAAAGUAGUAAUGAAAAUGGACUAUCUGAAUGGUUCAAAUGUUAUUGUUCAAUCAAAAUAUGCUUUAGAAAUUAAAGAAAAUUAGGCAUGAUAUGGGAAGUUCCCCUCCACCCCCAAUAAUAAUAAUAAGUAAAAAAGAGUAUCACAGUUACAAACUAGCCCAUAUGUUACGUUUUCGACUUACAGUUAGCUCAAUAAUUUUAUGCAUAUGCAUAUUCAGCAAAAUAUCAUUACGUACAAUUUACGUCAAAUAUGCAUGUACAGUGAUUCAAGACUGAGUCAGAGAUCUCAAAAGAAAUUAUCUUUGGUUUAGAGUGUAAAUCAUCUUUAGAUUUUUUUAUUUUGCUUUGUUUUUCUUUUGAAUCACCCUAUAAUACCCAGAGUUUACAAUCUUCGGGUUAGGUGGAAAACUAGUGGCUCUCAAUUUUGCCAAGUCGAUACCUAAAUGAUAUCAAACCUCAAAACUCAUAGAAGCAUACAACAAGUGUUAUUGUUCACCAUGUGUUAUCAUCGGAUCAAUUUCCAUCUCUCACAUCACUAGUCAAUAUACAUUGACUUUAGUUUUAAGAGAUCCAAAAACAUUUGUAAGCUACUGGCAGCUCUGAAACUAGCUUACUUUAUGCAGGUUUUAAGGUUCCAAGUCACAAAGUAGUACCACUAACCUGGGAAUAACUAAUUGUUUUUUGCCAUCUUCACGGAUAGAUGAAGCUCUUAAUGAUGUCAGUUGAGUACUCCACAUUACAACGAUUCCUUUAACUUCACGGCCGUGGGAUAGAGGCAUUCGAUUUUGUUCAUGGAAUGCCAACAUUUGUUUAGGAACUAUUACAUGAGGUAAGAGUUCAGUAUUAACACUGAAAACUAAUGACAAUCACAAAGUUAAGAAACAACAGAAAAAAUGAUAGUUUAAAUGGUUAAAUACGAUAUCAAUGGUUGGGAAGUUCCAAUUGAAUUUAGAAGUCAAUUACUUGCUAUAUUUGACAUACAUAAAUAUAAAACUAAACUAUUUAAGUUAAAAUAUGAAGUUGAACACACGGGCUCCUAGCCUUUCCAUGUAUUGUCUUAAUGUUUGACAUUGAAUUAUGGAUAUCCAAUUGAAUUUUAUAAAAAGCACAAAAAAUAAAUAAAUAAAAUAAAAUAAAAUAUUGACAGUAAAAAUUUGUAGAAUGAACAUGUUUAGUUAAGUGGAAAAACAGAAAGAGAAUUAUUGGAAGAAAGAAGUGUGAAGAUGAAAAACGAUCGUCAAGGUUUAACAUACCUUUUGCUUGGCCUUAUGAAGUCGAUCAGGAUCAUCAUCCUUUUAUAUGUACGUCAGUAUGGCUUUAUAGCAUAAUGGUGGGUGGAGAAUCCCCUCAAUCCUCUCAAGUCUCGACAAGAAACCUAUGUUUUGGCCAUUGUCUAUAAAUUAAUUUGAAUUAAAAUCAGGCACUACAAUUGACUGUGUCCCAUUUUCAAACUCAAUUCAAACUAGUUAACGCUCUUCAAUCCCCUUUUCUUUAUAGAAAAAGACAAAAAAGAAAAAGGAACAUUGAUAAGUGGCCCACCCAUGACUCAUGAAGUUUAUGUAUCAUGAUGGAAAAAAUCACCUAUCUAAACCACUCAGAUAGGCAGAGCCACACACGUCGAGUCGCUGAUAAUAUUUUGGCAGUUUCCAUACUUCAUCUACAUGAUGAAACAAUUAUAAAAAGUUAGCAAAUAAUGAAAAACAAAAAUUUCAUAUCAAUUAUUGAUUACAAGAGCACCCGAAAACAUGGACAAAUCAUUUUUUAACGUUUGAAGCGUUCUUUGUUUCCUAUCAUAUCAAGAUUUUGUAUUACAUUACUUUGGCCAGUGAAAUACCACCUUAGGUUCCAUGAAAAUAAUACUAGCUAUACCUCUACCAGAACAAUGUUUAGAUAUACUUGCCAAGAAGAAUAGUAAGAAAUUUGAAGUUUAGCUCAAGAAAAUAGCUUAGCCACCUAUAAAUCUUUGCAUGGAAUAUUGCGAUUGCAAAAAUAACAAUCUUUAAGAAAAAUAUUAUUUUUGUAGCAAUCAUUAUCUCAGGUCUGCACUUUAAAAAAUUUGCAAUUACUAUCAGGGUAAAUCAGUAAACAGGAAAUCAUAAAGAAAUAUUUUAAUCAUAGUUGUAUAGUAAAGUACUUUUUAAAUUCACCAUGAGUAGGACACUGAUAGCUUGUUUACUAUGCAAAAGGAAGGCACAACAAUCCUUGUAGCCAAAUAACUAAACAACAAUUAUACGAUUUUUCUUUAAUGCCAAACCUUUUAAGAAAGUAAACAUGAUUUUUUAAGAAACUAAAAUUUUAUUCCCUUGAAUUGAAAUCAGAAUCCAAUGAUAACAAUGAACGUGUGAAAAUGAGGUUGAAAAAACAUAUAAGGUUUAAACCUAUAGUGUCUCAUUACAACUAAUAUUGAUGUCUAAGCAGUACGGCGGUGUAAGUACAUCAUUGAGUGGCAUGAUAAAUCCUGCUAUAUCUUAAAGUAGAUGAUUCACCACAGAUUUUUGGUCCAUUUAACCAGUUAGCAUACAACUUAAUUCUGAUGUUGCAAUCUCCUGGUUUUCUCAGUGCCAUAUUCCAAUGAUGAAAUAAUAUAAUUAUCAGCUUCUACCUCUUGAUUGACAUUUUAUCAAGGGUCAAAAAUCCACAUCUCCCUUUCCCAGGUAGCUACGUAAAAGAGUUGAGCAUGUCACGGUAUCACGUUCCAUUUCUCUAUCAAUCAUUUCAUCAUUGCAACUUGAAAGAUGUUUGCCUUACAAAGCCUUGAAAUCAGAACAAUAAAAAGUACAACACCUGGUCUUAUUCCCAUUUCCAUAAUCUCCUUCCAAAAUACUAAAGCAUGCAUAGAAGAAAUUUUUUAAUCUAUUUUUAAAUGAGCAUUGACUAAAAAAGUGCAAAGAACAACGCACUACACCUACUAUAAUUAUUCCCAGCCGCGUUNNNNNNNNNNNNNNNNNNNNNNNNNNNNNNNNNNNNNNNNNNNNNNNNNNNNNNNNNNNNNNNNNNNNNNNNNNNNNNNNNNNNNNNNNNNNNNNNNNNNNNNNNNNNNNNNNNNNNNNNNNNNNNNNNNNNNNNNNNNNNNNNNNNNNNNNNNNNNNNNNNNNNNNNNNNNNNNNNNNNNNNNNNNNNNNNNNNNNNNNNNNNNNNNNNNNNNNNNNNNNNNNNNNNNNNNNNNNNNNNNNNNNNNNNNNNNNNNNNNNNNNNNNNNNNNNNNNNNNNNNNNNNNNNNNNNNNNNNNNNNNNNNNNNNNNNNNNNNNNNNNNNNNNNNNNNNNGAUUUAAUAUCUUCCUUUCUGUUACACGAUUUUGUUGAGGGAUCUUGGAACUAUCAAAGGGCGUCCAAUUCCAUUUGCUUCACUAAAUUCUAUGAAUUCUUUGGAAGUGAAAUUUUCGCUUCGAUCAUAUCUCAUGGCUUUAAUUUGGCAUCCACUUUCUUUUUCCACUGCAGCUUUAAGUUUCUUAAAAGCUUAAAAAACUUCUGACUUUUGCUUCAAAAAAUGCACUCAAAUUUUUCUUGAAGAAUUAUCUAUGAAGAGAAGGAAGUAAUUACUUUUACCAAGGGAGUUUAACUUGAAUGGAUCGCGCACAUCAGUAUGAAUAAGCUCGAGUGGCUUUCGAGCUCUUGAGUUUAACUCCUUUGGAAAGCACUUUCUGAAUUGCUUGCCAAGUAAACAUACUCACAAAGUCGAUUAUGAUGAUUAAUUGAAGGCAUGCCUUUUACCAUGUUCUUCUUUGAUAGUAACUCUAGUUCACCAACUGACCAAAAUUGAGAUAUCCAUAUCGAAGAUGCCAAAUCCAAGAUGGAUAUUUGCGACAAGCCUUGAGACACUUUGCAACAUCAUUAUGAAAUAUUCUAUUCUUCAACAUUUUCGCCUUUGCUAUUAGGUUUUCUUUGUCAUCUCUUAGGAAAAAACUAUAAUUUUUUAAGUGAAUAUUGUUGUGAUAAAUUCAAAUGCUAUGAGUGUCAGUGUGUAAGUGUACAACAACAAGUAAUAUAAUAAUAAGUAUUCAAGAUCAUCUCUACAAUGAUUGAUGUUAUCAAAUUUGCUACAGCAAUCUGUAACAAUGCAUUAGUUGUUCUAAAUUAAAAUAUGAAAAUUAAUGUAACUAAACAACUAACUAAAAUAUAACAUGCAAUAAUUAAAAAUGUAACAAAUAAAAUUCUCACGCCAAACACAAGAGUAAAACCAAUGGGAAUGAAGUAAUUGAGUGAUUAAACUCUCUUAAUGGUUUUGACUAUUUCUUCAAAUCUUAGGCACGACUCUAUUUACCCUACAAGAUAAAUCUCUAUAUCUAGUUCAUCACUAAUUUUAGAUUAAGUAUAACCUUUUUGGAAUCAAGUGAAACUCAACUUAGGAAACUCAAUCUAAAACCAAGUAUUGAUUUGAUAUGUUCCACUAAGAUAUGUCAUUUUGUGGCUCUUUCUUAACUUGUAUCAUUAAAUGGGUAGUCAGCCGAAAUAAUGAAUAGAAUAAGUUUUACCAAAACAAAAUGUUAUAGCAAACAUACAGCAACAUAUAAAUUUAGUCAAAAAACCAUUAAGAUUUUUUAUCACUCAACUACAAUUAAAUUAAUUUAUAAUCUGCGAAAGUAAAAUAAAAAAAAAGAGUUUUAGCCAUCAAAUUGAUAAGGAAAAGGAUGAUAAGGAAAGAACUCAAUCAUUGGAAAAUCAUGAAGAUCAAUUUACGGAAAGAACUCAAUCAUUGGAAAAUCAUGGAGAUUAAUUUGCGGAAUGCAGAGCACUAUCAAAGGGAUUUCCAACGUCUAGAUUAUCUCUAUAGAAUAUCUUCAAUGAUUUAAUUCUUUUAUAAAUAUUCCUUUUAUGCUAGCUGUACAUAAAUGACAUGCAUUAGUGGCUGUGAUUUGGCCAUUAGUUAGGACAGCAAUAGCUUAAGUUUAGGCCACUUGCUCUUUUAAUCUCACGUACUGUCUUGUAUAAAUUUAUGGUUUCAGUUUCAAUAAAGGUUAACCAAUUCUCUCACGCUUCAAUUUCUUUACAAAUACACCCCCGUGAUUAAAGAGUAAACAAGACAACAAGAGAAGAAUAAGAAGGACUGAAUUCCAAUUGACUUCUGUAAAUUCUCAUUUGAUACAACUUUAAUUCUUGCUUUUGAAAUCUAUUUUGUCCUUGUUUACUUUCAGUUUUUGUUCUUGGUUGACGGCCCCUUUCUUCUCCUUUACUUGUGUGCUUCUUUUAUACCUAAAAAUAUGGUAAAUUGAAGUUUAGGGUACGCAUCUUCAAAAUUAGGAAACUCCAUAUCACAAUCUGCUAAGUGUCUCACGUGAAAUAUUUUCUGUCAAUGCUCCAGGAUUGCCACAACAAUGGCUACAACAUCUACACUGUUCCAGACUUACUUUAAUUCUUUUGCAGUCAUGUUCUUUUGUUCUUUUUGCAAGCCCAUUACAACAACAUCUUUCAUUGAAAUUCGAGCUUCCAAUUACCUACAAUUAUGCAUAAGAUUUAAGCACACAAUUAUUCAAAUUCAAACAAACUUCAUUAAAAUUAAAUUAAAAUGGAUGUUGAUGCAAACUAUUAUUAAAUGCAACAAAACACAUCAUUUACUGUCUAAGUAAUCUUGAUUUAAAUUUAAAAGUGGCUUGAUAACUCUUUUUAUCAAAUAUCAUAGUUUUUUUUAAGAGUUGACCCAAACCGAGAAUGUUACUUUUUAUAUUGGCCACAUAAUAAACAUUUGAAAUUAUUUUGUAGCUAUCAUCUUUUGCACGAAAAAGAAUGUUACCUUUGCCCUUUACUUGUACUUUUGAAUCACUUUUAAAAACGACAUUGUCAUUUACAGAUUCAUUUAGUUCCACGAACAUGCUUUUGUUUCCGUUUAUAUGAUUGCUAGCACCUGUGUCAAAAUACCAUGUAUUUUCUUGACCUCUACUGAUGUCAUUACGUCCUAGUAAAAGCGUAUCAUAUUCACCAUUCUUCUCUUUAACAUAAUUCAAUCUCUUACCAAUUCUGGUACUUAGAGCUCUUUGCAUAAUUCAUUCAUAUACAAAUUAAUUAAAACCAUCCUCCAUAUCUCUGUCUCCGCGAUCCAAGAGAAUACAAAACAUGUCCAAAUGUGGAACUAACGGUUCAGGUAACUUAUUUGUAGACUCAAAAAAUAUAAAAUUUUAUAUAGGUAACAUUUGUAACUUAAACACGUCAAAAUUGAUUUUUAAUUUUUUUUUCUUUCACAACCUUUCGGUAACCUUUGCUGAAUCAAUGAAAAUAAAAUUAAAAGAGAUUAAUAGAGCUUACAAAUCAAAGGGUAUAGAGAACCACGCCCCGAAAAAUCCAACAAAAGUUAAAAGAAAUUAAUGGAGUUCGCAAAUCUAGUAACUGUAAGUUAUACAUUGACAUUUUAUUCCAAAUUUUACAUGAAGACUCGGGCACUUACUGUAGCUUAAUUUCAACCACAACAGUACAAUCUAAAUAGCCAUAAAAUUCAUGUAGACACAUCCACAUUGAGAAAAGUACAGACUUCACGAAUUGAGACCAUAGAUUUACAAUAUUGUAUUCUCCAGUAUUAUAAAUUAGGUAUGGUUCCAUUUCAAGCUUGCUUUUUACAAGAUAAGGGCUUUCAUUUUUAUAUAGCAGAGAAAAUUUCAUACUCAAAUUAUUUAUGAUAACCCAAAUCUCAAUUCUUCUAAAAGAAAAUAGGAUGGUCGAUGAAUCUCUUGAUCUCUCGAUCUAUAAAUGACCACCUACACGUGCAAGUUGCAAAAGAUGAUCUUAAUUACAUAAUUAAUUUGGGAACUGCUUGUUUAGCUUCAUGCGAAGAAGACAAUAGCUAAGUUAACGUGAGUGGGCUCACUGAUUUAGCAUUUUGUGACUUUUUCUUUAACGUGAGUGGGCUCACUGAUUUAGCAUUUUCUGACUUUUUCUGCUAUAUUUUAUAUGAAAGCUUGAUCCAUUUAUAUAUUACUAGAUUGGUUAUGAUGCUUCUUUGACAACGAAAUAAAUCAAAAUUAAUCUUGAACAACUUAUUUAGAAUUGUGCAUGCACUAUAAUCAGUGGAGCUAAAUUAAUGAAUAAUAUUUAUCAAUGUCAAAGCACUCGCUCUCGCUGAUGUUACCUGCCUGCCCCGAAGUAUCGAUCAUUCAAUAUUUAUAUUAAAUGAAAAUAAAAUCAAAUAAAAUUCAAGACUCAUUUCGAAAUCAAAGGAUAUAAAUUCUCCAAUCAAAGCGUUAGUUCGUGUGUUACUUUUGUAAAUAUGAUUCAUAUCUUUUCACCAGGAUGUGUAUCUUAUCACUUGGAACAAAUUUAAUUAGUAUUACGGUUUAAUUUAUACUUUUAGUUUAUUUAUUUAUUAUUAUUAUGUUUUUGUUUUUUGCUCAUACUCCGCCUGCAUGUAAAGUUAUCGGCAAGAUCUAACCGUGGAUAUAAAUAACAUUAAUUAAAAGAAUAAAGCACUCAAUUUUCGUAAUUUUUUAUUUUAUAAUUGUGGCUAGCACGCAAUGAAUACACGACGUUAAAGUGAUUUUUGAAUGAAAUACAGAACGCUAGGUUUAAGGUAAUCUUAAAAUAUUUAACAUAGGAUUACUCUAUAUAUAUAUAUAUAUAUGAAAACAAAAGUUUACCAUCAACCACUUGACCUUAAUGGACGGAGACUAACCAGUAUUGAUCCUAAUCAAGUCAUGAUGUAUUAAUUAAGAUUUCACUAAUGUGAUAAAGCCUCCUUAUGCUCAAUUCUUGACCAUAGAAGUCAAAUCGAUAUUUUUCUUUUUUUAUGUAUUUUUAAUCAAUUCUUCAUAUCAUCGUAUGACUUUUAUGUCAGGGGAGAAUUAUGUACCAACAAUUUUAUUUUAAUUGAAAGGAUCAAGAUCCAUAUUAAAUUCUUAUUUUGUUUUACAAAGAAUCACUAUCAUAAAAUUAUUUGGUACAAUUUUACAAAGUAGAAUCAUUAUCAUAACAGCUUGCAAAUCUAAUAAACAAAAACGUCAAAAACAAUGAAAUUAAAAAAAGAAAGAGCCGGUCUUUGGCUGAGUUUGGAGGGCAGCAGUUUAAAUCUCCACACGCGAAAUGUGGGGAUAUUUUCUUUCUUAAUUAUAUUGUAUAAUUGAGUAGAGGUAGUCUUCUCCCUUACCCAAGUGUGAGUAGAGUAAAAUCUGAACAAAGUUCCAUAAGUAUUGAUGUAAGUUGGUCUCAGUAAUAGUUUAAUUUGUAAAUAUCAGUUAUAGACUCAUAUAAUAUGAGUUGUAGUUUGAGAAAUAGUCUCAUGUAAUAAAACAAAAACAAAAAAGAAGAAAGAGAAUUAUUUAUAAAUUUCAAACUUAAGUUGGUUAAAAGAAGCAACCCAAUUCAAUAUUCUUUUAUUCCCUAUCCAAUACAAUAACAAAUGUAGUUAGAAACAUAAUGAAGCUACUAGAUUGGUACCAACCUCAAAGUAAUCUAAUUAAUUUAAAGAUUACUUAAGAAUUCUCUAAUUAAACGUUAAGAGAAAAAAAGGGGGGAAAAAUAUCAAAUUGAGGUGGGCCAAAAGAUCUCAAAAACAACGAUGUUUUUGUCAGCAAAAUCUAGUGGCUCUUCUUUGGUGGAACCCUCUAAAGAUUCUCUGUUAGCAUCAUAUAUUUUUUCCACUCUAUAUAACACCCACCACUCUAAUUUUUCAAGCCCCCUUCUCUUCUAGCUUUCUAGCUAUUUUGUUCAUUUGUUAUCUCCUUUCUUGUUGUUUUUUUUAUUAUUGCGAUUGCUCAAUAUAAGCCAAAGUAAUAUUUGUGUAUAUAUUUAUUUGUUAGAAUUUUUUUGAUUAUGGAGAGUGGAACGAGGCAAGGAGCAUUGUCACCAUGCGCAGCAUGCAAGCUUAUUAGAAGGAGAUGCGCCCAAGACUGUGUCUUUGCUCCAUAUUUUCCAGCUGACGAGCCGCAGAAAUUUGCCAGUGUACAUAAGGUCUUCGGUGCCAGCAAUGUUAACAAGAUGUUACAGGUUCCAUUUCCGUGCUCUCUCUUUGUCAGAUCCUAGGGUUUCUUUAACAGUAUACUCUCUUAAUUCUUUUUUCAUGGAAAAGAUAGGCUACAGCUGUUUUUGGAUACCUAAUGAAUGUAUCCAUUUUUUGGUUCUUUUAUAUUUUUUAUAUUUUGUUUUUCACAUAUUGGAAUUAGGUCUACAUUUGAGUAACUUUUAUUUAGUUCGUAUCUUCCUAUUUUAACAAAUACGAACUUAAUUACCCUUGCAUUUAUGGUGCUGCAGGUGUAAUAUAAUUAAUAUUGUAUAUGUACGAUCAUAUAGUUCAAAUUUAAUGUUUUGAUAUGUACAUAUAAUUCACUUAAUUAAACUCACAUUGAGAAACAUUAAAUUUAUUUUCAGCAUGAUCUUCAAAUUGUAGAAAUGCAAAUUAAUAAUCCGAUUACCAAGGAGGGGAUGAAAUUUAAGAAGAUAGGGCAAUAGUAGUUAUAGUGGAAAAUUGUCUUUAAAUAAUGGUGUUUAAAAAUGAUAUAGAUAUGUCACGCAUAGUUUUGAGAAAUUGAAAUAAGAGAGGGUUCAAAUUUUAAGUAUUGAUCAAACGAAAAUUUUUCUAUUUAGAGGCUGAUAUCACUCGUUUAGUCAUUUCGAUUUAUCAGAAUAUGCAUUAUUUUUAGGAAAAUAAAUAUUUUAUAUAUUACAAUAUGUAUUUUUUUUUAUAUUAGCGUUAUUGAAUUUCUAUAAACUAAUUACUUAUGUAAUUAGUGUUCAUCAAAAGCGACGUUUUCAUUUCUUUUUUUCAGCUGUUAUGACUAUUACGGUGAUUUGUUUUACUGUUAUAGGUUAUAAAAAUAAAUAUAUUGAGUUGACUAAGGUAGCGUUUAUUUUUUUGUCUGAAAUCUAAAUGAGUCUAAAUUUUUCUAAAGUUUGAAUGGGUAUAUAUACAAAAAUCUAAACGACAUGUUUGUUUUUUUAUUUUAAAUAUCUAAAUAUACGUGGCAUCUUGUUUGUUUUUACAAUAAAAAACAUCUUAAACUUGGUUAUUUGACAUUUAUGUCCUUGUAAAUUAAAAUAAAAAAAGAGGAUUAGAUUUUAUAAUUUAUGAAAUAAGUUAUUUUACAGAGAUAUUUUUGGAAUACAAUAUUUACUUGUCAUUCAAACUUUUUUUCAUUCAGAUAAAAGUCACAAAAGUUUACUUUUUCUAUUCAGAUGUAAAUGUCUGAAAAUCAUACAUAAGUUCCAAAAAAUAAACAAGCAUAUUUUAGAAAAUGUCCGAAAUCAAUAAAAUUUCAGACUUCAGAUAUUUAACAAUCAACCUCUAAGAUUCUAGUUCUUCUUUUCAAAAGCAGGCUGUUAAUAAUCUUAUACUAAGUUCUUUUAUUUUUUUUCUUUCUUUUUAGUUGAUUGUAAGUGAAAGCAAAGAGAGUAAUUAAAGAUGAUAAAUUAACUACUUUAGUUACCACUUGAGACCUUGUCAACAAUUUAAUAUAUCCUCAGCAUGGAAAAUGGAUUAAAAUUUAUAUGGGGUUUCCGCCUGCUCUUUUUGACCACUUUUUCGAAACUGGUCCAAAAAAUGCUUCAUUCAAAGUGAUUUUGGGAAAAGAAAGCCUGAAGCAUGCUCUGAUGAAUCAUCUGUGCUUUCUACUUUAUGAACGUAGAGAAUACUUUUUUUUUUUUGUUUGAAGGUGGUCUUAAGUGGGCCUUAAUUGUGGGAAGUAUUUUUAAACCUGUACCACAACUCAGACUAAUCUCUACUCGCACCGAGUCUACCUGUAAGGGUAAAGUAUUGGCCAAAGUGGUGACUCCAUACGAGAGCUGGGCUUGAACCCCUGACCUCUAACAUAGAGGAUACUUUGAUAGUGACUUUGUUCACCAAAAAGAGAAUUGAUUGAUGUUAACAAAGUAUAAAGCUAAAAUAUAAUUAUCACUAAACACCGAUUAGAGUUACCUAAGCAUGACAUCACCUUGACCUAUGCAAUUAUACCAUUAGUUUGUUGAUUAACUAGGUUCGAUUAAUUCUUUUAGCUGGGUCAUGAAGAUUGAUUGAUUAUUAAUUAGCUUUUUUUUUCCAAUUAUAUGCUUAAGUAAAGUGCUUGUUCUAAAAUACCUUAAUAAUAGCUUUUCUAAAAAAAAAGAACUUUGAGAUAUGACAAGUAUUCAAACACUAAGCUAAUAUAUAUAAUUUAUUGAAUUCAUUAUCAGAAUAUGUUUGAGAUUGAGGUUAUCAUAUAAAAAUGGUAGACAACUUAAUUUAACAUUAGUUAUCAAGUAAAAGGCGAUGUUUACCCAACACUUAACUGUUGUCACUAACAAAACCACAAAACCAUGGUGAGAUGAGGUGGAUACUCCAACUAGGGUUUGAAAUUUUUUUAUGUAUAAUAUCACAGCAACUCCAACUGAGAUUUGAAAAUUUUUUGUGUAUCACAACAACUCUUGCGAUCUCAAAAUGCAUUGCUGAUUUUUUUAAUUUUUAGAAUUGCCUCAUUAGAAAUCUCACUGUUUCACUUAUAUUUUUAAUUUGAACUUUUCUUAGUCAAUCUAAGUUCUUGGAUCUUGGCUAUCAUAUUUUCAAACUUCAGCUGAAACAUAAUCGUUGAUAAAACACAAUCUUAAUUUUUAAUUACUUUCAAGUUCUUCUAAGAGGGAGAUUGAAAUUCACAAUAAUUAAGUUUAAAUUAUAUUAAUUAUUGUAGAAUAUACAAAGAUGUUAGAACUUGUAUUUUUUUUUUUUGAAUUACCUCAUUUGUGUUAAUGAAUUUUUUAAGACCUAAUGAGCCCUUGUACUCUCCUAGCAAAGAAGUAACCUCUCUAAUCGUUUGCAUGUAAAAACAUGCAGGAACUGCAGGAGCACCAACGCAGUGAAGCAGUGAGUUCAAUGGUAUAUGAAGCCAAUGCUAGGUUUCAUGACCCGGUUCGCGGUUGUGUUGGCGCCAUAUCAUCUUUGCAGCAACAAGUAGAGUCACUGCAAGCCCAGUUGGCUUUAGCACAAGCCGAAGUGGAGCAAAUGAGAAUGCGCCUAAUCUCACCUUCAUCAUCAUCAUCCCAUAACUAGCCAGCAAAUUCAAUGGACCAUAUGGUUGAUCAUCAUCAUCAAGCCAAUAAAGGAGGCUUUCUGUGGUCUUGCUAAGCUAAACUAGUUAACCUAUGUUGCCAAAUCGCCAUCACUUUUUUUUCUUUUUUAUUAUUAUUUAUAAUUAACUGUAAUGAGCUUGCUUUAUUUUCUGCUACACGCUUCAUUUUUCUUUUAUCUUUACAUCUUUAUUUACAAGUAUAGCCUUAUCAGUUAUCAUAUGUCAUCUGUGAACUUGACCUGAAGAUGAUGAUGAUGAUCGUUAACCAUAUUGUAAAUAAUAUACCUAUAUAUAUAAUAUCAUCUGUUUUUCCU